ACUCCGAGAAGUCGAACUCACCGCGUCGACCCGGCAAGUAAGUGUAGACUAGCCCUAAGUCUUAACAUCAGCCCAGCAUGAUAAAGUUGCUAAGCUAGUGACCUCACAGAUGCAUCUGCCUUGACAUCACACAAGCUAUCUGCAGCUGCUGUUGCAGAGAUACCACAGACGCCUGUGCCUUUACAUCAGCCCAGCAAACUAGAGGGUCUGAUCCAGGAACAUCACAGAGACUCCUAUCUUGACAUAAGCUGAGUUUGGGCCAUCUUAAGCCCAAACACUUUGGCAGAGUGGAUGUGGUGGGCAAACUAUCCCUGCCCCAGAAGGCCGCUCCACUGAACUGCAAACCACAGGCUAACUGCACUUGCAAGACCCCCAAACACAGCUAUUGGGGCAGCUGGUCAACAGAAGGUCCCAGGAUCUGGUAGCAGACAAGCUGACCACCUCACAAAGAUUCCAGGAGAAGAAGGGGAGGGCAGUAGGCCACCAGGCACCCCAGGCCAGAAGACACCUAGAGGAACAGGAAUCCCAGCACCUGAAGGAGGAACCAUUAUAGGGUGAAGAAGUAGGUGGGUCUGGGGGUAAUGCUACAGGAGGGAUAUGCAUGGAGUAAAAGAGAAUAAUGAAACUUUCCAGCUACAGUAUUGAAGUGUUUGCAAACUGCAGGGGGAUCUCAUUAUCUAUCUAAACUGUUCCCACUGGAAGAUUUUUUUCUUUGCAAUAAAUCAUGGAAACAUUUCCGGCGGUCUUAAGUUUUCUAAAAUCUGUUUUAGCAGACCAACAUUUUGGCUAAAUUUAACCUGCUAACAUUCCUUUUACAUUUUUGGCCUGUGUGUAGAGAGAGACAAAGCUUCUUCUAGGGACUGUUCCAAUGCCUAAUGAUGCCUUACUUCAAUGGGAAUAAAUACCCAUGGCCCAGUCCUCUCCCACAAAACUCCGGUGACUUCAGCAGGAUCAGGAUUGGGCCCCAGAUUGCCCUCUGAGAAAGCUAGCCUCUGAAAUUUCCACAGGCAAACUCUGCAGGUGGCUUCUAGUAGCACACUUCUGAAGUGCCAAACACAGGCGCAGACAGACUUUUCAGAGAGUUCUUUAUUUGACUUGAUUCUCUGCUGAAAUUUUUUUAAAUUUUAUUUUAACCUUUUUUAUUUUUGGAAACAGGCUUUUGAAGCCCAAACUCCACUGAGCUUGAUCCGUUUGUAAGAAGGACCGAAAGUAGAGCACAGAGAUUUAAAGAAAAACAAAGCAGAGGUUCACAGCUGGUGUCUGAUGAAUUCUCCGCAAUUUCUCAUUAUGUCCCAAGUCGUCCAAAUGGGAGGACAUUGUUUUCAUGGUUUGUUUGUAGGCAGCUUAAGCUAAAACCAGAAACAACGACCAACAGUAAUAAUGUCUUAUAUUUAUAUAGUGCUUCUCAGCCAGAAGGAUCUCAAAGGGCUUUAUAAACUUGUAUUCAAAUGCAAACUCCUGCCAACAUCUGAUCUCAUCUACACAUGGUGAUUGUAUGGCCUUCUUUCCCACUCUGAGGCCUGGACUACACUAUAAAGUUAGGUCAACGUAAACUGCCUUGUGUUGACCUAGUGGUGCGUGCAUGCAUCUACAGUUAAAUCUGUCUCCCACCCAUGCAAGCACCCUGUUACAGUGACACAGUAACACCACUUCCCUGAGCAGUGCUGAUCCCUGGUCGACAUACUGAGCUCGACACAGCACGAGUAUAGACGCAGAGUUACUCAUGUUUACUCUAACAGUCCUUCGGCAGCUGUCCUCACAAUGGAAACACUGACUGCUCCAUUCACAAUUGUGAACGCCACUUCCCGGGAUCACGGAAACUGGAAGCCCACCCCCACCUCUUUAAAGCCCUACGAAUUUUUGAAAUGCCUUUUCCUGAUUAUCCAGCUGCGCGAGCACACCUGGCAGUUCUCCACUGUUGUGUGCAACUGCCCAGCUGACCGUGCCGGUGACACGCUCCAUCCACACGCCGGCUUGGAGUAGAGAGGAGAUAUUGGAUAUCGGAUAUUGGAUAUCCUGGGCCUGUGAUGAGAAGAGUCUGUGCGAACACUGCUAUGGACCAGCCAUAAAAACGUUUGGGGGACGUCCAUGAGCAGAUUGCUUGGGGGAUGCAGGAGAAGGGCUACGAUAGCAGCAGUGCCAUAGGAAAGCGAAGAACUGCAUCAGGCAUAUCAGAAAGCCAAUGUGACAAACAGUCAAUCCAGUGCCCAGUGCAGACCUGCCUGGAGGAGACUCCAUUACCACUGUGGAUACCUCUGAGGAGCCUGUGUCAAAGCCUUGCACAGCGAGGAGGAGGAGAAGGAGGAGGAUGGGGGACUUGCAACCAGGGGAGGUCCAGCUGUGCCACAAGCCAGGACCUGUUUGAGAUUCCACCACAGUUCAAUCAGUUGAGCAUGGGUGAGCCUGAUGCUGGGGAGGGAACCUCGGUAAGCAUGUAAUAGUAUUUCCUGUUACAAUGAUGUACUGAUGGCCCCCCCAACGCAACAGGAAACAGCUAUCAACUUGUCAUUGAUUUACUCAUACUAGAAGAGGUAGGAGAACGACGAGAGGCAGAGUUGUAUGCUUUUCAUCCCCCUGUACAGUUAGGCAGGGAGGCCAUGAAGAGCAGUUUGUUUAUGUACCCAGGGAUUUCCCCUGAUGAAACUUCCAUGGAGAUCCUCUGCAAUCCUCUCCUGAAGGUCUCUAGGGAUUGCUAGAGGAUUUCUUUCUUCUUUCUUAUUUCUUCCUUCGCAGUAGGACACUUUCCCACACCAAUCCCUAGUAACUUCAACAGGCACCAUUGCAGGACACAGGCUACAAGCAUACGGACCCAGGGAUCUUCGGGACGCCAGCAGGAGCUGUGCACUCUGUGCCCCCAGGAGCGAGAUACCAGCUAAAAUCAGCCCUGCCUGUGGAAAACAGUGCCAGCAUUCAGUGUCACUGCCCUAUACUCAUUGUUUCAUGCAGCUGAGCAAUUCCCCACCGGGACCAGAUGGCAUUCACCCAAGAGUUCUGAAAGAACUCAAAUGUGAAGUUGCGGAACUAUUAACUAAGCUGCUGCCGGAGCAGCCUUGAGGGGCUCUCCUUCCACACCCGCAGCAGAACGCCUGAGCCAGAAGAGGAGAAAGAAGAGGACUUGGGAUGUUCAAUGAGAUCCUGUAAGCUAGUGCUGCAUCAGAUCAUAAAUACAGGGCCUGGAGGGUGAACACUGCAGACAGCCUAGAGGGUGGACAGGAGAAAGGCCCAGGAGUCCCAGCAGAAAAAAGGAGAGGGAGAUGGACCAGGACAUAAUGGGGAUUCUCCGGCAGCAAACAUAGAUGCUGCAGAUUCUUGUUGACCUACAGGUUCAACAAUCCCAGGUUCGCUUCUCUUUGCCAUCCAUUGCAGCACCUCCCUACAUCCCCCUCCUCAACAUUCCACACGGCAUCAGGAGCCACAUCUCCACCCCUACCACUCUAAUCCAGAUGCCAUUAAGGACAACCACAGCUUCACAUACACUGACCUGUGAAAGCCAUGGUUGCUCUAUAUAUAGGAAGAGUGACAUGAAUGUUCUUUCCCCUUGUUAAGUCCUGUUUCAUUAAUUUAUUACAUUUUAAUGUAUUUUUGCACUGGUUUUGUUACUGAAUAAAAUUAUAUUAUUUGGAAAAUAA